rnacentral:piRNA from 1 species
UGGCCACAUCACACUUUUUAGCCUGUACCA